rnacentral:rRNA from 1 species
UGGGGGAUAUUGCACAAUGGGCGCAAGCCUGAUGCAGCGACGCCGCGUGGGGGAUGAAGGCCUUCGGGUUGUAAACUUCUUUUGCUCUGAACAAGGCGCACUUUGGGGUGUGUUGAGUGUAGGGGUUGAUUAGCGCCGGCUAACUACGUGCCAGCAGCCGCGGUAAUACGUAGGGCGCGAGCGUUGUCCGGAAUUAUUGGGCGUAAAGGGCUUGUAGGUGGCUGGUUGCGUCUGUCGUGAAAGCUCAUGGCUUAACUGUGGGUUUGCGGUGGGUACGGGCUGGCUUGAGUGCAGUAGGAGAGGCUGGAAUUCCUGGUGUAGCGGUGGAAUGCGAAGAUAUCAGGAGGAAUACCGGUGGCGAAGGCGGGUCUCUGGGCUGUUACUGACACUGAGGAGCGAAAGCAUGGGGAGCGAACAGG